rnacentral:lncRNA from 1 species
UGACAAAUGGAUUGUGUGUGGAGUUAAAAGAGGUAAAUCAUAUAGGUGCGAUAGAUAAAUCUUGGCCAUUUCCAGAGCCAGAUGUAGAAACAAUAUCCAAAAAAAUCUUUGCAGUAUUGGUGACAUGAUGAGUUGCUCCAAAAUCUGGAUACCACUGAGAAGAUGAGAUAGGAGUGCUGAUGGACUCUGUCCCAGUUAGGUAGGCUUGAGAUUGCUUUUGAGAGUAUGAACCUCCCAAUAACACCCACUGUACCACAAAACCUUCGUUUCAACUCAAAAAUUCUCCUUCACCUGCUCACGUUAACACAUUUCCUUCGUAAAAGUCCUUCCAUCUUAAUGUCGUGAACACACGCUGCCACUCAAACGAACAACCAUCACACCGUUUUACUGCACCUGCGACACCACCUUCACCUCACAACCAACCGUUGAUCCACCAUGAACCUCCAUUGACGAAAGCUCC